ensembl:lncRNA
UGUAAUGUGACCGUGAUAACGACAGUGAGGGGAGGCUGCAGGAGUCUAAUGUGACCGUGAUAACGACAGUGAGGGGAGUCUGCAGGAGUCUGUAAUGUGACCGUGAUAACGACAGUGAGGGGAGGCUGCAGGAGUCUAAUGUGACCGUGAUAACGACAGUGAGGGGAGGCUGCAGGAGUCUGUAAUGUGACCGUGAUAACGACAGUGAGCGGAGGCUGCAGGAGUCUGUAAUGUGAUAUGACCGUGAUAACGACAGUGAGGGAAGGCUGCAGGAGUCUGUAAUGUGAUAUGACCGUGAUAACGACAGUGAGGGAAGGCUGCAGGAGUCUGUAAUGUGACCGUGAUAAUGACAGUGAGGGGAGGCUGCAGGAGUCUGUAAUGUGACCGUGAUAAUGACAGUGAGGGGAGGCUGCAGGAGUCUGUAAUGUGACCGUGAUAACGACAGUGAGGGGAGGCUGCAGGAGUCUAAUGUGACCGUGAUAACGACAGUGAGGGGAGGCUGCAGGAGUCUGUAAUGUGAUGUGACCGUGAUAACGACAGUGAGGGGAGGCUGCAGGAGUCUGUGACCGUGAUAACGACAGUGAGGGGAGGCUGCAGGAGUCUGUAAUGUGACCGUGAUAACGACAGUGAGGGGAGGCUGCAGGAGUCUGUAAUGUGACCGUGAUAACGACAGUGAGGGGAGGCUGCAGGAGUCUGUAAUGUGAUGUGACCGUGAUAACGACAGUGAGGGGAGGCUGCAGGAGUCUGUGACCGUGAUAACGACAGUGAGGGGAGGCUGCAGGAGUCUGUAAUGUGAUAUGACCGUGAUAACGACAGUGAGGGAAGGCUGCAGGAGUCUGUAAUGUGAUAUGACCGUGAUAACGACAGUGAGGGAGGCUGCAGGAGUCUGUAAUGUGACCGUGAUAAUGACAGUGAGGGGAGGCUGCAGGAGUCUGUAAUGUGAUAUGACCGUGAUAACGACAGUGAGGGAAGGCUGCAGGAGUCUGUAAUGUGACCGUGAUAACGACAGUGAGGGGAGGCUGCAGGAGUCUGUAAUGUGACCGUGAUAACGACAGUGAGGG